AUAAAAGCCUUGAUGGGAAGAGUAGUUAUUAUGAAAUAGUCAAAGCGAAUCAGUGGUGGUGAGCGACUGAUACUAAUCAAAUGGUGAAGAACAUCCCGGAGCUUCCAAACGAAAUUUAUUAAGAGUAGUAUUGGACGGAGCCAAACCGUUACAUCUUGGACAGUAUCGAAUUUAUAUUAAUUCCGUACUGAUUAAAGUGAGCUUUUUAAGCUAAUUUAGGUGGUACCGCGGAAGUAUAAGUCUUUCGUCCUAUUU
rnacentral:ncRNA from 1 species